rnacentral:rRNA from 1 species
AUUGAACGCUGGCGGCAGGCCAAACACAUGCAAGUCGAACGGUAACAGGAAGCAGCUUGCUGCUUCGCUGACGAGUGGCGGACGGGUGAGUAAUGUCUGGGAAACUGCCUGAUGGAGGGGGAUAACUACUGGAAACGGUAGCUAAUACCGCAUAACGUCGCAAGACCAAAGAGGGGGACCUUAGGGCCUCUUGCCAUCGGAUGUGCCCAGAUGGGAUUAGCUAGUAGGUGGGGUAACGGCUCACCUAGGCGACGAUCCCUAGCUGGUCUGAGAGGAUGACCAGCCACACUGGAACUGAGACACGGUCCAGACUCCUACGGGAGGCAGCAGUGGGGAAUAUUGCACAAUGGGCGCAAGCCUGAUGCAGCCAUGCCGCGUGUAUGAAGAAGGCCUUCGGGUUGUAAAGUACUUUCAGCGGGGAGGAAGGGAGUAAAGUUAAUACCUUUGCUCAUUGACGUUACCCGCAGAAGAAGCACCGGCUAACUCCGUG